rnacentral:lncRNA from 1 species
UAUAUAUAUUGAAAACAUAAAUAUACAUCACACUAAAGUAAAGAACUCGCAAGAAAAUAUAAUUGUAUUUUUUGAUACUUCAACUAUAGAGGUGCAACACGAAGAAUCGAAGUGAAACAACACUGAUGUGCAAUAUUUUUUUUAUCAAUAGAGUCUGGUUUCCAGGCAUGCCAAACGAAGUGAGCUUCUUAAAUUGCACCAUUAACACAAAUUUAAGCUCAACAAAUUAAUAAAAUAUGUUUUGUCUCAUUACAUUAAUAAAUAAAUUAUAAAUAUAUAAGAUUGAAAAUAUAAAAGUAAAAUUUAGAACAGGAGUUUAACCUUUAAAAGAUUAACAAUGGAAGAAACUACUCCUUUC